rnacentral:rRNA from 1 species
AGAGUUUGAUCCUGGCUUAGGAUGAACGCUGGCGGCGUGCUUAACACAUGCAAGUCGAACGAAGCUAAGGGAGCUUGCUCCCAAAGCUUAGUGGCGGACGGGUGAGUAACGCGUGGGUAACCUGCCCUAUAGAGGGGGAUAACGUUCGGAAACGAACGCUAAUACCGCAUAAACCAUAAAGAGCUGCAUGGCUCUGAUGGCAAAGAUUUAUCGCUAUAGGAUGGACCUGCGUUGGAUUAGCUAGUUGGUGAGAUAACAGCUCACCAAGGCGACGAUCCCAUAGCCGGCCUGAGAGGGUGAACGGCCACAUUGGGACUGAGACACGGCCCAAACUCCUACGGGAGGCAGCAGUGGGGAAUAUUGCACAAUGGGCGCAAGCCUGAUGCCAGCGACGCCGCGUGAAGGAAGAAGGUCUUCGGAUUGUAAACUUCUAUCAGCAGGGAAGAAUAAAUGACGGUACCUGACUAAGAAGCCCCGGCUAACUACGUGCCAGCAGCCGC